UACGCUUCUUUUUCCACCGGAGCUUGCUUCCACCGGAAAAAGAGGAGUGGCGAACGGGUGAGUAACACGUGGGUAACCUGCCCAUCAGAAGGGGAUAACACUUGGAAACAGGUGCUAAUACCGUAUAACAAUCGAAACCGCAUGGUUUUGAUUUGAAAGGCGCUUUCGGGUGUCGCUGAUGGAUGGACCCGCGGUGCAUUAGCUAGUUGGUGAGGUAACGGCUCACCAAGGCCACGAUGCAUAGCCGACCUGAGAGGGUGAUCGGCCACAUUGGGACUGAGACACGGCCCAAACUCCUACGGGAGGCAGCAGUAGGGAAUCUUCGGCAAUGGACGAAAGUCUGACCGAGCAACGCCGCGUGAGUGAAGAAGGUUUUCGGAUCGUAAAACUCUGUUGUU
rnacentral:rRNA from 1 species